rfam:Parcubacteria bacterium GW2011_GWA1_49_11 TY36_C0012, whole genome shotgun sequence.
GGAGAAGUACCCAAGUGGCUUACGGGAGCGGUUUACUAAACCGUCAAGCUCGCAAGAGCUUCGUGGGUUCGAAUCCCACCUUCUCCG